GGAUUAGAUACCCUGGUAGUCCACGCCCUAAACGAUGUCAACUAGCCGUUGGAGGAAUUUAAUCCUUUAGUGGCGCAGCUAACGCGAUAAGUUGACCGCCUGGGGAGUACGGCCGCAAGGUUAAAACUCAAAGGAAUUGACGGGGGCCCGCACAAGCGGUGGAGCAUGUGGUUUAAUUCGAUGCAACGCGAAGAACCUUACCAGGCCUUGACAUCUAGCGAACUUUCCAGAGAUGGAUUGGUGCCUUCGGGAACGCUAAGACAGGUGCUGCAUGGCUGUCGUCAGCUCGUGUCG
rnacentral:rRNA from 1 species